rnacentral:tRNA from 1 species
AAUGAAGUGCCCGAAUUUUAAGGAUUAUUUUGAUGUAAUAAAAAAUGUUUUUUUAAACCUUCAUUU